rnacentral:rRNA from 1 species
CAAGAGUGAACUAGCUAACUGAAAUCACAGAAUCCACUACGUGUGGUGAAUGUAAUAACGUAAGGGAAAAAAAUGAUAUUACCUUACUAUUAGUGUUGUCCAAAACUGGUGCCAGAAGACUCGGUAAGGCCAGAGACGCAAACGUUAGUCGUCCUAAUCAGGCGUAAAGGGUAUGUAGGCUGUUUUAAAAGUUUUAUAUUAAUAGCUAAUGUAUAAAAAAUAUUUAAUAAAAAAAUAUUUAAAACAUAAAAAUAUAAGAUGAAUUAAAGCUAGGAUCAAAUGGAGGAUAAGUCAAAUAAUACCUAGUGUAGGGUUUAAAUCUGUUGAUGUUAGGUAGAGUACUAACGGUGAAAGCUUUUUAUCUAGAAAUGAUUGACGCUGAGAAACGAAGGUGAGAAUAGGAAAUAGGAUUAGAUACCCAGAUACCUCUCACAGUCAACGUGAAUGGUGGUUGUUAGUUAGUUUUAUUUAACUGAUAACGAUGUUAACACGAUAACCAUUCCGCCUUGCGAGUACSGUUGCMAAACUGAAACCAAAAAAAUUAGUCGGUCUC